AAGAGAACUGCCUGGGUCCCACAUUCAAAGUUGGGCGAGGUCUCUCUAAUCCUCAUUAUGCCUUUCUCCUCCCAUCCCCCAUCCCCCCCAUUGUAGGUGGCAAACGUACUAGAGAACUUGGACAUGCGGGCUUUUCUCUCCAACAGCUUAGUGGAGCUGAUACGAACGUAAGUGAAGUUGUCCCGCCAUGUCUCCCCUCUCCCUCUCUCCUGCUCCUCAAACUCCCACUGUAUCCCUCCCGUACAGCUCUCCCGGAGCACAGUCCUUGGGCAAGCCCAUUCAUCACUGGAAGGUCGUCUCCCACUUCAAGUACCGUCCCAGGGGACCCCUCAUCCACUAUCUGAACAACCAACUGAUAAGCGCCGUGAUGGAGGCCUUCCUCCUCCA
rnacentral:lncRNA from 1 species